rnacentral:rRNA from 1 species
AAUCAACGCUGGCGGCGUGCCUCAGACAUGCAAGUCGAACGAUUAAAGCUCUCUUCGGAGAGUGUAUAGAGUGGCGCACGGGUGAGUAACACGUAAGUAAUCUACCUUCGAGUGGGGAAUAACAUCGGGAAACCGAUGCUAAUACCGCAUAAUGCAGCGGCAUCGCAAGAUGACAGUUGUUAAAGAUUUAUCGCUUGAAGAGGAGCUUGCGGCAGAUUAGCUAGUUGGUAAGGUAAUGGCUUACCAAGGCGACGAUCCGUAACCGGCCUGAGAGGGCGGUCGGUCACACUGACACUGACAUACGGGUCAGACUCCUACGGGAGGCAGCAGUCGGGAAUUUUGGGCAAUGGGCGAAAGCCUGACCCAGCAACGCCGCGUGAAGGAUGAAAUCCCUCGGGAUGUAAACUUCGCAAGAACGGGAAGAAUAAGCGAGAGUUAAUAUCUUUCGUGAUGACGGUACCGUUUGUAAGCUCCGGCUAACUCCGUGCCA